rnacentral:rRNA from 1 species
AUUGCCCCAGUAACGGCGAGUGAAGCGGCAACAGCUCAAAUUUGAAAUCUGGCCUCGGCCCGAGUUGUAAUUUGUAGAGGAUGCUUUUGGUGAGGUGCCUUGUGAGUUCCCUGGAACGGGACGCCAGAGAGGGUGAGAGCCCCGUAUACUUGGACACCGAGCCUCUGUAAAGCUCCUUCGACGAGUCGAGUAGUUUGGGAAUGCUGCUCAAAAUGGGAGGUAUAUCUCUUCUAAAGCUAAAUAUUGGCCAGAGACCGAUAGCGCACAAGUAGAGUGAUCGAAAGAUGAAAAGCACUUUGAAAAGAGGGUUAAAUAGUACGUGAAAUUGUUGAAAGGGAAGCGCUUGUGACCAGACUUGUGCCGGGCUGAUCAUCCAGUGUUCUCACUGGUGCACUCUGCCCGGCUCAGGCCAGCGUCGGUUCUCGGUGGGGGACAAAAGCUUCGGGAACGUAGCUCCUUCGGGAGUGUUAUAGCCCGCUGCUCAAUACCCUACCGGGGACCGAGGU